rnacentral:misc_RNA from 1 species
AAGUAUUCUUCGGUGCAGCCAGCGCUUCCACAGCGCGGCAGCCCAAACCUUACACACUGUGAUUAGUUUUUUUACUAUUUACUUUGGCUGCGCAAGUGGCCAAAGGUCUUAAACACAAAGAUUAUAUCUUUUUUUACAAAAUUUAGACAAUGAAGUUUUAAUACUAUAAUCUUCA